UACGGGGGGGGCAAGCGUUGUCCGGAAUCAUUGGGCGUAAAGCGCGUGUAGGCGGCCCGAUAAGUCCGCUGUGAAAGUCCAGGGCUCAACCCUGGGAUGCCGGUGGAUACUGUCGGGCUCGAGUCCGGAAGAGGCGAGUGGAAUUCCUGGUGUAGCGGUGAAAUGCGCAGAUAUCAGGAGGAACACCAAUGGCGAAGGCAGCUCGCUGGGACGUGACUGACGCUGAGACGCGAAAGCGUGGGGAGCAAACAGG
rnacentral:rRNA from 1 species